GUCUUUUUGUUGUGGGGAAGUCCAGGUACCCUGCCACGUCCACUCUGGGUUUUUUUUUGUUUUUGUUAGAUGUAUAUCUACUUUGUAUCCAUCUGAUGAGUUAAGCCCUUUUCAACUGAUUUUUAUAGUUUGUUCUUAUGUUGUACUGUUUCACCACUGUCGCAGGUGCGGGGUAGGGUUAGGGCCUUCAAACUAGUAUAACCCCGCCACGUUCUGUAUGUGCCUGUCCCAAAUCAUGGGCCUGUAAUUCAGUGGUUGUCGUAUGUUGCUGUAUAUUAUAUUUGUUUUUCGUUCAUUAUUUUGAACACAAAUCAGGCCGUUAGUUUUCUCGUUUGAAUUGUUUUACAUUUAUCAUUUUGGGGCCUUUUAUAGCUCACUAUGCGGUAAGGGUUUUACUCAUUCUUGAAGGCCAUACAGUGAACUAUAGUUGUUAAUUUCUGUGUCUUUUGGUCUCUUGUUGAGAGUUGUCUCGUUGGCAAUCAUACCACAUCUUCUUGUUUUUACAUGUAAUUAAUGCAUGAAAAGAACACUGUUGUAAAUAUUCCCACUAUAAAUUUUGAGUACAAAUUAUACUUAUUUUUAUUCUUUUAACACUGUUUAAAGUACCUGACCAUAACGAAGGUCUCAUAUUACCGUAUAAUAAACAGAUAAAUUAUGGCCCGCUGUAAAUAUAUCCCCUUACCACUUUUAUUUAAAAAUGAAUUUUAAUAUUUAAAGGGUAAGAUAAGGUUUUUACAUUUUACUACCGUGUUACACGGGUGCUUCGAUGCGGAUGAAUUUACGAAGAAAAGAAAAAAAGAUGUACAUAUAAGUAUGCUAAAACAUAGUAAACAUUUUUAACAACGAACAAAACUUGUUUAAAAUAUUAUGGAGUGUCCGUUCAUUCAGUUAAUGUGUUUCAUUUUGCUAACUUGGGUGCUUUGCACAGUUGCAAAACCAACAGCAUACGUUGGGUCAUACAACCUCAACUUCAAAAGUUUAAAAUUUGAAACAAAAUCAUACACAUGGAAAAAAACUUCACAAACAUCUCCCUUUGACGUAAACAAGCAUCAAUUCUUUACUGUGCCUGCUGGUGGAAUGUUGAAAGCAGAAUUAUCACUAACGACUAGAAGCAAGCAUAGGAAACUGAGGACCGCCGCUUGUAUUACCCUAAUACGCACGAAUAAGAAAACCUGUCAAAAAAUAUCUGGUAUACCAGGAAAAAGAAAAGAGUUCAUCGGUCAGUUAAUUCUUCAUGAAGUGUUUAAAGUGGAGAAAUAUGAUCAACUUGAAGUGGCAAUUGUACGUGGGAAAAAAUACAUCUACAAAGUCGCCGAAUACAAUCGCCUUAGGUUAUAUUAUCUUUAGAAGUACAGGAAGACAAAUAAUAUUUUGUGAAAAUUCCAUAGAAUUUUAGAUAUAUUAAAUACUAAACUGGUA